rnacentral:rRNA from 1 species
CCCUACCACCCUGAACACGCCGAGCUUGUCUGAUCUCGGAAGCUAAACAGGGUCAGGCCUGGUUAGUACUUGGAUCAGAGAAAUGAUUAAAAAAAAUUAAACAAAAAUCAGAACAAACCAGGAUGGGU